GAUGAUAUAAAUCAGAACAGGUGACCCCUAUGAGCAAUUGUAACUAUACAGCCGUCAGCCGACCGAAUGAGACCAGUCCAAGGCUUGGCCCGCCCACCAAUGUUGGACAGGGAAUUAUGCUGUGAAAGCACAUGGAUCCAGAAGAAUGGCAAAGAAAGUGUGGUCUAAGGCUGAGGUUGCCGCAGUAAUGCAACAUUUCAGAGAUCACAUAAGCAGAGGAAAGCUGGCCACCAAAACUUAAUGCAGUCACUGCAAACUGGUGGAAAACCCUGUGUUGGCACAGAGAACAGUGCAAAAUAUAAGGGACUUUGUUCAAAAUAGGGGAAUAACUGCAAAGAGGCAGUC